GGCAGGCUUAACACAUGCAAGUCGAGGGGCAGCGGGUGUAGCAAUACAUGCCGGCGACCGGCGCAAGGGUGCGUAACGCGUGAGCAAUCUGCCCGUAUCAGGGGGAUAAGCGAUGGAAACGUCGUCUAAUACCGCAUAACACAUUGGAUAGCAUCGUCCGAUGUUGAAAGCUUCGGUGGAUACGGAUGAGCUCGCGAGACAUUAGUUAGUUGGCGGGGUAACGGCCCACCAAGACCGCGAUGUCUAGGGGAACUGAGAGGUUGGUCCCCCACACUGGAACUGAGACACGGUCCAGACUCCUACGGGAGGCAGCAGUGAGGAAUAUUGGACAAUGGCCGGAAGGCUGAUCCAGCCAUGCCGCGUGAAGGAUAAGGUCCUAUGGAUUGUAAACUUCUUUUGGGUGGGAGCAAUAAGUGUGACGAGUCACACGAUGAGAGUACCAUUCGAAUAAGCAUCGGCUAACUCCGUGCCAGCAGCCGCGGUAAUACGGAGGAUGCAAGCGUUAUCCGGAUUUAUUGGGUUUAAAGGGUGCGUAGGCGGUUUGUCAAGUCAGCGGUGAAACGCAAGGGCUUAACCCUUGACCUGCCGUUGAAACUGGCGGACUUGAAUGCGGAUGCUGUGGGAGGAAUGUGUGGUGUAGCGGUGAAAUGCAUAGAUAUCACACAGAAACACCGAUUGCGAAGGCAUCUCACAAAUCCGUGAUUGACGCUGAGGCACGAAAGUGUGGGGAUCAAACAGGAUUAGAUACCCUGGUAGUCACACUGUAAACGAUGAUGACUCGCUGUCGGCGAUAUCAGUCGGUGGC
rnacentral:rRNA from 1 species